UAACGCGUAGGUAACCUGCCUUGUAGCGGGGGAUAACUAUUGGAAACGAUAGCUAAUACCGCAUAACAAUGGAUGACACAUGUCAUUUAUUUGAAAGGGGCAAUUGCUCCACUACAAGAUGGACCUGCGUUGUAUUAGCUAGUAGGUGAGGUAACGGCUCACCUAGGCGACGAUACAUAGCCGACCUGAGAGGGUGAUCGGCCACACUGGGACUGAGACACGGCCCAG
rnacentral:rRNA from 1 species